GUGUUCACUUCAGCAGCACAUACACUAAAACUGAAUGAUACAAUGAAGAUUAGCAUGGCCCUUAUGCAAGGAGGAAGCAAUCUAUAUUUUU
rnacentral:snRNA from 1 species